rnacentral:rRNA from 1 species
GUCGAGCGGUAACACAGAGGAGCUUGCUCCUUGGGUGACGAGCGGCGGACGGGUGAGUAAAGUCUGGGGAUCUGCCUGAUGGAGGGGGAUAACUACUGGAAACGGUAGCUAAUACCGCAUGACGUCUUCGGACCAAAGUGGGGGACCUUCGGGCCUCACGCCAUGAGAUGAACCCAGAUGGGAUUAGCUGGUAGGUGAGGUAACGGCUCACCUAGGCGACGAUCCCUAGCUGGUCUGAGAGGAUGACCAGCCACACUGGAACUGAGACACGGUCCAGACUCCUACGGGAGGCAGCAGUGGGGAAUAUUGCACAAUGGGGGAAACCCUGAUGCAGCCAUGCCGCGUGUGUGAAGAAGGCCUUCGGGUUGUAAAGCACUUUCAGCGGGGAGGAAGGCAAUAAACUUAAUAAGUUUGUUGAUUGACGUUACCCGCAGAAGAAGCACCGGCUAACUCCGUGCCAGCAGCCGCGGUAAUACGGAGGGUGCAAGCGUUAAUCGGAAUGACUGGGCGUAAAGCGCACGCAGGCGGUCUGUUAAGUUGGAUGUGAAAUCCCCGGGCUCAACCCGGGAACAGCAUUCAAAACUGACAGGCUAGAGUCUCGUAGAGGGGGGUAGAAUUCCAGGUGUAGCGGUGAAAUGCGUAGAGAUCUGGAGGAAUACCGGUGGCGAAGGCGGCCCCCUGGACGAAGACUGACGCUCAGGUGCGAAAGCGUGGGGAGCAAACAGGAUUAGAUACCCUGGUAGUCCACGCCGUAAACGAUGUCGACUUGGAGGCUGUGGUCUUGAACCGUGGCUUCCGGAGCUAACGCGUUAAGUCGACCGCCUGGGGAGUACGGCCGCAAGGUUAAAACUCAAAUGAAUUGACGGGGGCCCGCACAAGCGGUGGAGCAUGUGGUUUUAAUUCGAUGCAACGCGAAGAACCUUACCUACUCUUGACAUCCAGAGAAGACUGUAGAGAUACGGUUGUGCCUUCGGGAGCUCUGAGACAGGUGCUGCAUGGCUGUCGUCAGCUCGUGUUGUGAAAUGUUGGGUUAAGUCCCGCAACGAGCGCAACCCUUAUCCUUUGUUGCCAGCGAUACGGUCGGGAACUCAAAGGAGACUGCCGGUGAUAAACCGGAGGAAGGUGGGGAUGACGUCAAGUCAUCAUGGCCCUUACGAGUAGGGCUACACACGUGCUACAAUGGCGCAUACAAAGAGAAGCGAGCCUGCGAGGGUGAGCGGACCUCAUAAAGUGCGUCGUAGUCCGGAUUGGAGUCUGCAACUCGACUCCAUGAAGUCGGAAUCGCUAGUAAUCGUAGAUCAGAAUGCUACGGUGAAUACGUUCCCGGGCCUUGUACACACCGCCCGUCACACCAUGGGAGUGGGUUGCAAAAGAAGUAGGUAGCUUAACCUU